CCCUUAGAUGUUCUCGGCCGCACACGCGCUACACUGAAAGAGGCAACGUGUUUGCCUGAUUCGAAAGAAUUGGGUAACCCCCUAAUCUCUUUCGUGCUGGGGAUUGAGGUUUGCAAUUAUCCUUCAUGAACGAGGAAUUCCCAGUAAGUGCGAGUCAUUAUCUCGCGCUGACUACGUCCCUGCCCUUUGUACACACCGCCCGUCGCUACUACCGAUUGAAUGAUUUAGUGAGGACUUCGGACUGGGACCGAUGCGGCUUUCGGGCUGCGUCGGUAUUCUGGAAAGAUGUCCAAACUGUAUCAUUUAGAGGAAGUAAAANUCGUANCA
rnacentral:rRNA from 1 species